CCUACGGGUGGCAGCAGUGGGGAAUUUUGGACAAUGGGGGAAACCCUGAUCCAGCCAUGCCGCGUGGGUGAAGAAGGCCUUCGGGUUGUAAAGCCCUUUCGGUUGGGACGAAAAGGUCUGUGCUAACACCACGGACCAAUGACGGUACCAACAGAAGAAGCACCGGCUAACUACGUGCCAGCAGCCGCGGUAAUACGUAGGGUGCGGGCGUUAAUCGGAAUUACUGGGCGUAAAGCGUGCGCAGGCGGUUUGCUAAGACAGGUGUGAAAUCCCCGGGCUUAACCUGGGAACUGCGCUUGUAACUGGCAAGCUAGAGUGUGGCAGAGGGGGGUGGAAUUCCACGUGUAGCAGUGAAAUGCGUAGAUAUGUGGAGGAACACCGAUGGCGAAGGCAGCCCCCUGGGCUAACACUGACGCUCAUGCACGAAAGCGUGGGGAGCAAACAGGAUUAGAUACCCCGGUAGUC
rnacentral:rRNA from 1 species